UACGUAGGGUGCAAGCGUUGUCCGGAAUUAUUGGGCGUAAAGAGCUCGUAAGCGGUUUGUUGCGUCGGCUGUGAAAUCCCGAGGCUCAACCUCGGGUCUGCAGUCGAUACGAGCAAACUAGAGUGUUGCAGGGGAGACUGGAAUUCCUGGUGUAGCGGUGAAAUGCGCAGAUAUCAGGAGGAACACCGGUGGCGAAGGCGGGUCUCUGGGCAACAACUGACGCUGAGGAGCGAAAGCGUGGGGAGCGAACAGG
rnacentral:rRNA from 1 species